GUGACUGCGUACCUUUUGUAUAAUGGGUCAGCGACUUAUAUUCUGUAGCAAGGUUAACCGAAUAGGGGAGCCGGAGGGAAACCGAGUCUUAACCGGGCGUUAAGUUGCAGGGUAUAGACCCGAAACCCGGUGAUCUAGCCAUGGGCAGGUUGAAGGUUGGGUAACACUAACUGGAGGACCGAACCGACUAAUGUUGAAAAAUUAGCGGAUGACCUGUGGCUGGGGGUGAAAGGCCAAUCAAACCGGGAGAUAGCUGGUUCUCCCCGAAAGCUAUUUAGGUAGCGCCUCGUGAAUUCAUCUCCGGGGGUAGAGCACUGUUUCGGCUAGGGGGCCAUCCCGGCUUACCAACCCGAUGCAAACUGCGAAUACCGGAGAAUGUUAUCACGGGAGACACACGGCGGGUGCUAACGUCCGUCGUGAAGAGGGAAACAACCCAGACCGCCAGCUAAGGUCCCAAAGUCAUGGUUAAGUGGGAAACGAUGUGGGAAGGCCCAGACAGCCAGGAUGUUGGCUUAGAAGCAGCCAUCAUUUAAAGAAAGCGUAAUAGCUCACUGGUCGAGUCGGCCUGCGCGGAAGAUGUAACGGGGCUAAACCAUGCACCGAAGCUGCGGCAGCGACACUGUGUGUUGUUGGGUAGGGGAGCGUUCUGUAAGCCUGUGAAGGUGUGUCGUGAGGCAUGCUGGAGGUAUCAGAAGUGCGAAUGCUGACAUAAGUAACGAUAAAGCGGGUGAAAAGCCCGCUCGCCGGAAGACCAAGGGUUCCUGUCCAACGUUAAUCGGGGCAGGGUGAGUCGACCCCUAAGGCGAGGCCGAAAGGCGUAGUCGAUGGGAAACGGGUUAAUAUUCCCGUACUUGGUGUUACUGCGAAGGGGGGACGGAGAAGGCUAUGUUGGCCGGGCGACGGUUGUCCCGGUUUAAGCGUGUAGGUGUGUGUUCCAGGUAAAUCCGGUUCACUUUAACACUGAGGCGUGACGACGAGGCACUACGGUGCUGAAGCAACAAAUGCCCUGCUUCCAGGAAAAGCCUCUAAGCAUCAGGUAACAUCAAAUCGUACCCCAAACCGACACAGGUGGUCAGGUAGAGAAUACCAAGGCGCUUGAGAGAACUCGGGUGAAGGAACUAGGCAAAAUGGUGCCGUAACUUCGGGAGAAGGCACGCUGACACGUAGGUGAAGUGAUUUACUCAUGGAGCUGAAGUCAGUCGAAGAUACCAGCUGGCUGCAACUGUUUAUUAAAAACACAGCACUGUGCAAACACGAAAGUGGACGUAUACGGUGUGACGCCUGCCCGGUGCCGGAAGGUUAAUUGAUGGGGUCAGCGCAAGCGAAGCUCCUGAUCGAAGCCCCGGUAAACGGCGGCCGUAACUAUAACGGUCCUAAGGUAGCGAAAUUCCUUGUCGGGUAAGUUCCGACCUGCACGAAUGGCGUAAUGAUGGCCAGGCUGUCUCCACCCGAGACUCAGUGAAAUUGAACUCGCUGUGAAGAUGCAGUGUACCCGCGGCAAGACGGAAAGACCCCGUGAACCUUUACUAUAGCUUGACACUGAACAUUGAGCCUUGAUGUGUAGGAUAGGUGGGAGGCUUUGAAGUGUGGACGCCAGUCUGCAUGGAGCCGACCUUGAAAUACCACCCUUUAAUGUUUGAUGUUCUAACGUGGACCCGUUACCCGGGUUGCGGACAGUGUCUGGUGGGUAGUUUGACUGGGGCGGUCUCCUCCUAAAGAGUAACGGAGGAGCACGAAGGUUGGCUAAUCCUGGUCGGACAUCAGGAGGUUAGUGCAAUGGCAUAAGCCAGCUUGACUGCGAGCGUGACGGCGCGAGCAGGUGCGAAAGCAGGUCAUAGUGAUCCGGUGGUUCUGAAUGGAAGGGCCAUCGCUCAACGGAUAAAAGGUACUCCGGGGAUAACAGGCUGAUACCGCCCAAGAGUUCAUAUCGACGGCGGUGUUUGGCACCUCGAUGUCGGCUCAUCACAUCCUGGGGCUGAAGUAGGUCCCAAGGGUAUGGCUGUUCGCCAUUUAAAGUGGUACGCGAGCUGGGUUUAGAACGUCGUGAGACAGUUCGGUCCCUAUCUGCCGUGGGCGCUGGAGAACUGAGGGGGGCUGCUCCUAGUACGAGAGGACCGGAGUGGACGCAUCACUGGUGUUCGGGUUGUCAUGCCAAUGGCACUGCCCGGUAGCUAAAUGCGGAAGAGAUAAGUGCUGAAAGCAUCUAAGCACGAAACUUGCCCCGAGAUGAGUUCUCCCUGAGACUUAGAGUCUCCUGAAGGAACGUUGAAGACGACGACGUUGAUAGGCCGGGUGUGUAAGCGCAGCGAUGCGUUGAGCUAACCGGUACUAAUGAACCGUGAGGCUUAACCUU
rnacentral:rRNA from 5 species